rnacentral:rRNA from 1 species
UACAUGGGGUGCAAACGUUGCUCGGAAUCAUUGGGCGUAAAGCGCGCGUAGGCGGUUACUUAAGUCGAAUGUGAAAGCCCUCGGCUUAACUGAGGAAGUGCAUCCGAAACUGAGUAGCUAGAGUACGAAAGAGGGUCGCGGAAUUCCCGGUGUAGAGGUGAAAUUCGUAGAUAUCGGGAGGAACACCGGAGGCGAAAGCGGUGUACUGGGGCUGGUCUGACGCUGAGGCACGAAAGCCAGGGGAGCGAACGGG